ACAGAUGCACACAUCAGAUGACCCCAGUUUUUGGUUGGGGAUGUACAGCUGGAUCAUAGAAUUAAGAUAGCCGUAAGCAGAUCCAGUAAGUUACCUAUAGGCCAAGGUCUAUUAUAAGGAGUCAAGGUAGAGUAGGAGAGGAGUUACAUGUCUCUUUGGCUGAUUGAAGACCUGGCGUGCUGCAGCAUUCUGAAUCAUUUGCAACAAUCUUACUACACAAUCAGGCAGGCCAGCUAACAGUGAAAUACAAUAGUCCAGUUUGGAUAUAACCAUGGCCUGCACAAGAAGUUGUGUGGAAUCUUGUAUCAGAGGUCUGAUCUUCCUAAUGUUGUAAAGGACAAGCCAACACGAUUUUGCAAUUCAGGCUACAUGCUCAAAGAAAUUAAGUCGGUCAUCAAUUAUGACACCAAAGUUACGUGCCAAUCUAGUUCGGGUCAGUGAAGAGGAGUCAAGCUGGAUGUUAAUCUGUUGGGGAAUAGCUGUUUUAGCUGGAAACAUCAAAAGCUCAGUUUUUGAGAAAUGAAGUUGAAGGUGUCGGUCUGUCAUCCAGACUGAAAUAUCAGGCAUGCAUAAAUCUGAUGGGAAACAGUCCUCAGGUGGUAAAGACAGGUAAAGCCGUCCGCAUAGCAGUGAGUGAAAUCCAUGGGAGUGAAUGGUCUCACCCAAGGAAGUGGUGUAAAUAGUGUCCUAAUACUGAUCCUUUUGGCACACCUGUGGUGAGGUCAUGAUACUUUGAUACAAGACACACUGAAAGAACGCCCUUUAAGGUAGGAUUCAAACCAAGAUCUUUCCCAGAAAUUCCCUGUUCAGACAGUGUAGAAAGGAGAAUGUCAUGGUUUACAGUAUCAUAGGCUGCAGGUAAGUCUAUUAGAAUUAAUACUGAUGACUGAGCAGACUCCUGAUUUGAGGUGCUGCUGUUUACGGGUUUGAGUCCGUUAAACAGUAACAGUAAAUGUAAAUAGGUUACAUUAGCUACUCUCAAUGCUUCAGUCACAGACAGAGCAAUUUCAGUAGAAUGACCACUCUUGAAACCAGACUGCAUACGGUCUAGCAGUUUGUUCUGAUACUCAUAGACUUGCUUGAAGAACACUUCCUCCAAAGCCAACAAGAAAGGAAGAAGGGAGACAGGUCUGUAGUUCAUCAAUUGUAUGAAGUGUACUUUUUUUAGCAAAGACAUAACCCUUGCCUGUUUAAAAGAAGAAUCCCAGAUAGCAAAAGAUGUUAUAUCAACGUUGAGUUUUGGUCAAAAUGGUUGAUUUAUGGUUAUAGUUGAAAACUGAUGGUGGAUCAACCACUGAAAGAAUUAGAAGUUGAAAAAAUGUCAUUGAAUCAACAUUGUAUGGUUGAAUUUAAUGGUUGAAUGGCAAUCAUUAGAUCAACGUUGAAUCUAUGUUGUCAUACCGUUUUAGCAGGGUGCAGGCGGGUGGGGGGGCAUUGCUCUUAGGUGAGACCAUUUGAUGGGAGGGGGUUUCAUAUAUUUUAAAUUAAACACAAUGUGCUGUGGACAAUUGAAUGUAACAUUUUUAGCGUGUGUGUAAAACAUGUGUUAUGUGUGUAACCUAUAAGAAAAGCAAACAAACAUCUAAGUCAAAAACGAUCUAAGUCGUCUUUGGACUUAUUUGGAACAGUCCAAAAAGCCGUUACAGAACUUUCAGUCAGACUCAGCCGGUGCGCCAUUUUGACUGCUUCACUUCCAACCUGCCCAGCUUUCUUCUUCGCUUGUGGAUCCAAGACGAGCUGAAUCACAUUUUUUACAGUUAAUACACAGUGUCAUCUUCACAUGGAGACCUGGCUGCAGCCUUUUGUUUUUAUCAUUUAAAUAUCAAGUUUCUGCACCCAUUCACAUCGGGGGUGCAGCUGUGGAGAGAGUCAAAAGCUUCAGAUUCCUUGGUAUAAACCUCAGUGAGGAUCUGAGCUGGACACACCAUAUAUUGGUGUGGUCACAAAGACAGCUAGACAGCGGCUCUUCCUUCUGCGCGGUCUGAGGAAAUUUGGCAUGGACUACAAAAUAUUGACCAACUUUUACCGCUGUACAAUAGAGAGCAUUCUGACUGGUGGCAUAACAACAUGGUAUGGUAACAGCACUGCCCAGGAUCGAAAAUCGCUACAAAGAGUUGUCAGAUCAGCACAGCGCAUUACAAGGACUAAGUUACCAUCCAUCCAGGACCUCUACAGCCAGCACUGCAGAAAAAAGGCCAAGCGUAUAGUCUCUGACCCCAGUCAUCCCAGCCACUGUCUUCUCUCCCUCCUGCCUUCUGGCAGACGAUACAAGAGCAUAAGGACCCGUACCAGCAGGGAUAGUUUUUACCCGCAAGUCAUCAGAAUGCUGAACCGUCCUUGGAAUUCCCCACAUAAUGGCACUUAGUUUUUUGGAUUUUGUUUUACCCUCUUCCUCCUCAUCUCUCCAUCCUAUUUUUAUAUAGUAUUUUUUGUACGGUACGGUAUUGUUUCUGUACCGUUCAUUUUUGGCCAAAAUUCUGUAAAAGUCAUACUGCAGCCUAAACCGUAACUCCAAAACUCUUCAAAUUUUCAGGUAUGGUUACCAGUACCCCCUCUACCCAUUUUGAAGUGAUGGACACUUCAGCACAAGGAAUUUCAAUGCUGAUAAAUGCUUAAUUAUGAGUACAUGAUGAUGAAGUUGAACUUGUUUUUGACAUUAAUUAAAUAAACCUGAAUGUAAAAACAAA